rnacentral:rRNA from 1 species
AACGAACGCUGGCGGCAGGCUUGACACAUGCAAGUCGAGCGCCCCGCAAGGGGAGCGGCAGACGGGUGAGUAACGCGUGGGAACGUACCUUUUGGUUCGGAACAACUCCGGGAAACUGGAGCUAAUACCGGAUAAGCCCUAACGGGGAAAGAUUUAUCGCCGAAAGAUCGGCCCGCGUCUGAUUAGCUAGUUGGUGAGGUAACGGCUCACCAAGGCGACGAUCAGUAGCUGGUCUGAGAGGAUGAUCAGCCACACUGGGACUGAGACACGGCCCAGACUCCUACGGGAGGCAGCAGUGGGGAAUAUUGGACAAUGGGCGCAAGCCUGAUCCAGCCAUGCCGCGUGAGUGAUGAAGGCCUUAGGGUUGUAAAGCUCUUUUGUCCGGGAAGAUAAUGACUGUACCGGAAGAAUAAGCCCCGGCUAACUUCGUG